AGGGCAUUCAGUGUGUGUAAAUUAGCUGUAGUUUGUGUGUGGGAAUGUAGUGUAUGUGUAGGGGAUUCAGUGUGUGUACAGUGGCUAUAGUUUGUGUGUGGGAAUGUAGUGUAUGUGUAGGGGAUUCAGUGUGUGUAAAGUGGCUGUAGUUUGUGUGUGGGAAUGUAGUGAAUGCGUAGGGCAUUCAGUGUGUGUAAAGUGGCUGUAGUAUGUGUGUGGGAAUGUAGUGUAUGUGUAGGGGAUUCAGUGUGUGUAAAGUGGCUGUAGUUUGUGUGUGGGAAUGCAGUGAAUGUGUAGGGCAUUCAGUGUGUGUGAAGCUUCUGUAGUUUGUGUGUGGGAAUGUAGUGAAUGUGUAGGGCAUUCAGUGUGUGUAAAGCGGCUGUAGUUUGUGUGUGGGAAUGUAGUGAAUGUGUAGGGCAUUCAGUGUGUAAAUUAGCUGUAGUUUGUGUGUGGGAAUGUAGUGAAUGUGUAGGGCAUUCAGUGUGUGUAAAGCGGCUGUAAUUUGUGUGUGGGAAUGUAGUGAAUGUGUAGGGCAUUCAGUGUGUGUAAAGCAGCUGUAGUUUGUGUGUGGGAAUGUAGUGAAUGUGUAGGGCAUUCAGUGUGUAAAUUAGCUGUAGUUUGUGUGUGGGAAUGUAGUGAAUGUGUAGGGCAUUCAGUGUGUGUAAAGCAGCUGUAAUUUGUGUGUGGGAAUGUAGUGAAUGUGUAGGGCAUUCAGUGUGUGUAAAGCAGCUGUAGUUUGUGUGUGGGAAUGUAGUGAAUGUGUAGGGCAUUCAGUGUGUAAAUUAGCUGUAGUUUGUGUGUGGGAAUGUAGUGAAUGUGUAGGGCAUUCAGUGUGUGUAAAUUAGCUGUAGUUUGUGUGUGGGAAUGUAGUGAAUGUGUAGGGCAUUCAGUGUGUGUAAAGCGGCUGUAGUUUGUGUGUGGGAAUGUAGUGAAUGUAUAGGGCAUUCAGUGUGUGUAAAGCAGCUGUAGUUUGUGUGUGGGAAUGUAGUGAAUGUGUAGGGCAUUCAGUGUGUGUAAAUUAGCUGUAGUUUGUGUGUGGGAGUGUAGUGUAUGUGUAGGGGAUUCAGUGUGUGUACAGUGGCUAUAGUUUGUGUGUGGGAAUGUAGUGUAUGUGUAGGGGAUUCAGUGUGUGUACAGUGGCUAUAGUUUGUGUGUGGGAAUGUAGUGUAUGUGUAGGGGAUUCAGUGUGUAAAUUAGCUGUAGUAUGUGUGUGGGAAUGUAGUGUAUGUGU